rnacentral:rRNA from 1 species
GGAGUUAGCCGGUGCUUCUUCUGUGAGUGAUGUCCUUCCUGCCGGUUAUUGACCCGCAGGCCUUCUUCCUCACUGAAAGUGCUUUACAACCCGAAGGCCUUCUUCACACACGCGGCAUGGCUGGAUCAGGGUUGCCCCCAUUGUCCAAUAUUCCCCACUGCUGCCUCCCGUAGGAGUCUGGGCCGUGUCUCAGUCCCAGUGUGGCUGAUCAUCCUCUCAGACCAGCUACGGAUCGUCGCCUUGGUGAGCCGUUACCUCACCAACCAGCUAAUCCGACAUAGGCUCAUCCGAUAGCGCGAGGCCCGAAGGUCCCCCGCUUUCCCCCGUAGGGCGUAUGCGGUAUUAGCCUGGGUUUCCCCCAGGUUAUCCCCCACUACCGGGCAGAUUCCUAUGCAUUACUCACCCGUCCGCCGCUCGCCACCAGGGAGCAAGCUCCCCGUGCUGCCGCUCGACUUGCAUGUGUUAGGCCUGCCGCCAGCGUUCAAUCUGAACCAAGAUCAAAUUCUGA